rnacentral:tRNA from 1 species
GGCCUCGUAGCUUAACUGAAUAGAGCACUUGAUUACGGCUCAAGAGGUUGGAGGUUUGAAUCCUCCCGAGGUCA